rnacentral:rRNA from 1 species
UACGGAGGGGGCGAGCGUUACCCGGAUUUACUGGGUGCAAAGGGCGUGUAGGCGGUCUCUCAAGUCCGAUGCUAAAGACCGAAGCUCAACGUCGGGGGUGCGUGGGAUACUGUGAGGCUUGACGGUCGGAGAGGGUAGCGGAAUUUCCGGAGUAGCGGUGAAAUGCGCAGAUACCGGAAGGAACGCCAAUAGCGAAAGCAGCUCCCUGGACGAUUUGUGACGCUGAGGCGCGAAAGCGUGGGGAGCAAACCGG